CUAUCAAGAGAGCUAUCCUUCGACAGUAUAAUCUUUGUACCACUGUCAUGGAGUUGCUCUCUUUGUGGGC
rnacentral:pre_miRNA from 1 species